rnacentral:lncRNA from 1 species
GCGUUUGUUGCAUCACACCUCCCAAAUGCACUGCAAUAUACUUACCGCCGUAAUUAUAUUUAUUAAUAAUUUUUAAUAUAAAAAUGAGAUAUUCUCAUUUUCUGAAUGUACUAGAGUAAUUUUCAUGAAUUCUCUACUUACUGUCAUCUGAAUCGAGUUGAGAUGUUUGGAAACUGAAAAUGCCGAACCCGUGUUCCAACUGUUCCCACAUUAAGGGAAUUAUAAUUAUUUUAUUUUUUAUUAAUUAUUGAUGCGGAUUGAACAGAUAAUCUUAUAAGUAGCUGGGCUGGGCUGGGCUGGGCUAGCCAUCAAUGGAUGUCUCUUGCCAGUUGGAUCAGGCCUUCUGUGUUGCCACGUGGGCUACUCCAUUGUUGGUAUUUAGCUCUUCAAACUGUUCUUUAUUGUAUUUCUUUAAAAAAAAUUGAAAUUCAUUUCUCUUACAAUUAUAUAUUUUACUUAAUUUCUAAUUUGUUAAAAUAAAUUAUUUUCUAAAUUAAAUUUUAAAUACAAACUAAGGAAAUUACAUCACACGUACUGCGGUUAGCGGCGACAUUACAUAGAGAACUUAAAAGUCACUACACGUUGCUGCCUCUCAUUGGUGACUUUAUCCACGUUUUAAGACGGACCAGGAAUUUAAACUUUAUGGUUUCCAGCAAAUAAAUAACGACGACUCAGGGAAAGCUAGGAAAUGCCACAUAAAUUAUAAGGUCGAAAACAUUUGUGACGAAAAAAGAAAAGCGAAUAUAUGACACGUGUCGCAAUUUGAAUAGCUCAAAAGAAAAAGCAUGCAAAAAGUUGAAUCCAAAUUGAGUUAUGUAAAUAAAAAGAUACUGGGAAAUUUAUGGCAAAUUAUUUCUUAUUUUAAUUGUACUUUUUUAUAGACUGAAUUUUUUUUUCAUAUUUCUAAUAAAAUUGUUUUAUAAUAUUAUUAUUAGAUUUAAUUUAAUACAAUUUUAAUUAAUAUAUUAAAAUAAUAUUUUAUCAAUAUCAGUUUAAGCAGCCAACUUUAACACAUUAUUUUUUAAGAUUAUUUGCAAUAACUUAAAACAAACUAUCCAAAAUAAUUAUUCCUUGUGUUUUGUGAAAAUGAAAAUGAAUUUGAAUAUUAAAUAUCAAAUUCUCUUUAUAUCUAAAUAAAAUUAAUGCAUGAGAUUAUAAAUAAUUAUAAGAAAUAAAAUUGUAAAUAAUUAAUUAAAUCCCUAAACAAUGCAUUUCAAGUUUUGUAUUCUUGAAAUUUAGAAAUAAGGAUUUUCCUAUUUUGAAUGCAUUUGAAUUUUUAUUUGAAAGAAAAAAAUGAAAAUUGUUGAAAGCAAGUAUAAGAGAAAAUCUGAUGGUAUUUAAUUUAACGAUAUUAAAUUAUACUCGCUAGAUUCAUUUCAGAAUUAUUUAUAAUAUUAAAAGCAUUAAUUAAUAUUUUUUAUUCUCAUCUCUAUAAAAUAAAAAAAUUAUAUAAUCUUUUCAAAAACUUUUACUACUUUUUCUAUAUUUCUUUUAAUGUUCUCACUCUUUUGUGAUAAAUUAAUAAAUAGAGAAUAUUAAAAUUGAAAUAAUUAGUGAUAAACAGUAAUUUAAUCAAAUUAAAGAUUAUUCUGUUAUAAAUAUUGUGAUUUAAUUACUUUAUUGAACUAUAAUAAAUAAUAAUCUUAUUUAAUUUUUUUAAUAAUAAUUAAAAAUAAAUUUGAUAUUUUUAGGCUCUAUUAUAUAGUUUAGGGGGAUAUUUAGCCAAAACUUCUCUAACAUUUGAGAUUUGUUUAUUCGUGAAAAGUACUUUGUACAUGGGACAACAAAAGUAGCUCGUGCAUGGGAAAAUGUUGUUUGUAAAUAUCUCAUGCGAAAAAAACAUUCUCUAUCAAAAAUAUUUUUAAAUAAAACAACUUAUUUUUAUUAUUUAGUUUUAUUUUUUAAAAUAUUAAUAAAUUUAAAAUUUUUUAAAUUGGCUCUCUCUUUAACAUAAGUAAUUUUUCUAGAAAAAAGUUACUUUUUUUUCGUCUGAUUGAUAAAAUAAUUUUUUAUAAAUAACUUGUAAAAUAAUAUUAUUUUAAAUAUACUCUACUGCCGUUUAUUUUAUAAAAAAAAAUCCAUGAAGAAGAAUAAUUUUCUGGUGAAAUAUGUUUUUCAAAGGAAAAAAAUUAUCGAGAAAAUAAUUCAUAUAUUUUUUUUUUCUGUUGUAAUGUGAAAAGCUAGUAACUUGUAUAUAAAAAAGUCUAACUGUGUUAAUUAAGAGUUCUAAAAUUUCAUAAUACGAGUAUUUUUUUUUAAAUAACAUUUUUUAAAAAAGCGUGAUCUUUGAUUUGAAUAAAAAAAAUAUUUUCCACUCUCUAGCGUUUCUAAGCAGACAAUUGUUAUCAUACAAAGAAAAUAGUUUUAUGCAAAACACACGGAGCACAGAAAGCUCUUAAUAAAUAAAUAAUUCAGUUUAAAAAUCAUAGUCUGUUAUUAAUAUAUACCAAAACUAAAUGUAAUUUUAAAUUCAUAUUCGACUAUAAAUAAAUUUAUAUUAUAUUUAUAUUGAAUGAGGGAUGAAAUCAAGAGGGCUAGACUUGAAGAAAAGCUAAAUUCCAAGGCACUAACUUCUGCAUGCAUACUAAUUCUUUACUUAAGUGCUACAUUUUUCUAAUAGGCUAAAUAUAUAAUUUAAUUUUUUAUAUUUAAAUUUAGUUGGCAUCUUAAUUUUUUACAUUUAACAAUUUAUAAAGUUUAAUUAUUUAAAUUUUAUGUUUUAUAAAAUAUAAUUAUUACAUUUUAUGACGUAUAAUUAUUUAACUUAUGAAAUUUAAGAAUGCGUGCAAGUUACUAACUCUCAGAAAUUAAUAAUAAAAGAGUUUGUAGUGUCAGCUAAACUUUUAUAUAAACAUUAAGAGCCUUUCAAUUCAAUUAUUUAAUAUUUUUAAGAACAUAUAUAAUUUAUCAUUCUUAUUAUAAAAAAUAAAUAAAAGUAUAUAAUACAUAUAAUUUUCGAAUUGCCCAAAUUCAUGAAUGUGUUUACGAACAUUGAAAGCAUUAUAAAUUUAUUUUUAAUAUUUAUUCUAAUAUUAAAAAUAAAAUUAUAACAAUAAAUCUAUGUGUAAAAAAGGUUAAUAGUAUUGGUAAAUUUUUUUUUUAUUCUUCUGAUUUAAAACGUUAAGAAUGUGGAGAACAUUGUAUUAUAACAUAAUUUCCGUGAAAACCAAUGAAGCAUAUGUAAUUCGUAUGUCCUCUUAUCUUUCUUUUAUUAUUUAUUUUAAUUAAUAGUUAUUCUAUAUUAAACUGGAUACUAUCCGUUUAUUUUAUUAAUUAUACGAAAAAUAAUGAAAAUAUACUUAAAAAUUAUUAAAUUUCUUUAUCAUUUUAAAAAUUAAAAUAAAUUAUCACCUGAUUUAUAAAAUCAAUUAUUUAAUUGAUAUACUGACUUAUUAAAUUAAGAAAAAUGUUAGUUUGCUAAAUUAAAUAUAAGGCAGGUAAAAGAAUAUAAUAGUAAAUUAUUAAAUUUUACAGAUUAGAGGAUUUAUAUAUAUAUAUCAUGUUUUUAAAUACAUUUCAAUGCUUUUUUUUUUAAAACAUGAUUGAAAUGGGCAAAGAGGGUAAACAUAGAAAAAAUGUAAAUGCAGCCAAAUUAAAUCAAUCAAAUUAAAUUUUAGAUUAAAUCAAUCAAAUCAAAAUUUAAAUCUAAAACUAAAUAAAAUCAUCAAAUCAAAUAAUUUCAAUCUAAGUACCUUAGAAGCAGAACCGCCAAAAGCAACAUAAAUCACCGAGGACCAAUUCAUUCAUCGUUGCCAACAAAAAAAGCUUUUUCAAUUUUUUUUAUCUUUAAUAUAUAUAUAUAGAAAUGGGACUCCCAACUUGAAAUUUCCCAAGACUACUAUCAAUUAGGGAAGACCCAUCAAUAUUUUUUUAUUUAUUUUAACGCUCUAAAAUUAUAUAUUUAAAUUCAGAAAUGCAUUUAUAUAUAAGUUUUCAAUUAUUAAUCAAUUUAGGGUGGAAUUUAAUUGUGGGGAUACUUCCGUCAUUCUAAUACUACACAAUGGCAUUCUAGACAUUUAAUUUGAACAGUAGGGGCAUUUUAGAAUCACUAACCAUAUAUAUUUGAAGAGCAUCGGUUAUCCUUAUUCCUCUCUUCCUCCUCUGUGAAUCAGUUUGAUUUUCUCUCCCUCUGUCUCUCCGUUUCCACUCUUCCUUCUCUCUUUUCCACUCUCUGUCUCCAAACUCCAUCGCUGCUCCGCCGGUUCUAGUGGUGGCGAGGCUUUUUAAAUACGUUUUCAUGCAACUGAUCCGGCUAGGAGUAGUCGGGUGCCGGUCGCCGUUGGUCCUCUUAAAGGAUUCGCUUCUUAAUUAAAUUUCAACCAGAGAGCAUCUGCUUUUCCUUUUCUGAUUUGGCUUGCUUAAUUUUUGGUUGGGAAGUUGUGCUUUUACGGUUUUGGCCUUUGUACUUGGCGGUUUUUACCAUUUUACUUUAAUCAAGCAAGCUGUUGAGUCAUCCCAUCUCUCUCUCUUUCUCUCCCCAUUUUGGACGUUUUAGCUCACUUCUCGAUAAAGAUGAUUUGACACCUUUACCCGAAUAAAACUCUGUUUGACGCUUUUGUCCUACAAUUAACUGUGCUUUAACGGUUUUACCCCUGAGUUUUUUAUAAAAACCUUUUGCAUUUGACGUGGC